GAAGGCUCCAAAGGAAGCCACGGCUAACUCUGUGCCAGCAGCCGCGGUAAUACAGAGGUGGCAAGCGUUGUUCGGAAUUAUUGGGCGUAAAGAGCACGUAGGUGGGUUUGUAAGUCAGAUGUGAAAGCCUUCUGUUCAACGGAAGAAUUGCAUCUGAAACUGCGAGUCUUGAGUGUAGGAGGGGAGAAUGGAACUUCUGGUGGAGCGGUGAAAUGCGUAGAUAUCAGAAGGAACGCCGGCGGCGAAAGCGAUUCUCUGGCCUAUUACUGACGCUCAGUGUGCGAAAGCUAGGGGAGCAAACGGGAUUAGAUACCCCGGUAGUCCUAGCCGUAAACGAUGGGCACUAAGUAGAGGGAAUUACCGAUGUUCUCUCUGCCGUAGCUAACGCAUUAAGUGCCCCGCCUGGGGAGUACGGCCGCAAGGCUAAAACUCAAAAGAAUUGACGGGGGCUCGCACAAGCGGUGGAGCAUGUGGCUUAAUUCGAUGCAACGCGAAGAACCUUACCGGGGCUUGACAUGGUAGAAGUAGGAACCCGAAAGGGUGACGAACGGUAUCCAGUCCGUAACUAUCACAGGUGUUGCAUGGCUGUCGUCAGCUCGUGUCGUGAGACGUUGGGUUAAGUCCCCUAACGAGCGAAACCCUUGUUUUUAGUUACCAGCGGGUUGUGCCGGGUACUCUAGAAAGACUGCCGUCGUCAAGACGGAGGAAGGUGGGGAUGACGUCAAGUCAUCAUGGCCCUUAUGCCCCGGGCUGCACACGUGCUACAAUGGUCGGUACAAACGGAAGCGAAGCCGAGAGGUGAAGCGAAUCCUAAAAAGCCGAUCUCAGUUCGGAUUGGAGGCUGAAAUUCGCCUCCA
rnacentral:rRNA from 1 species